AUCCCAUGGUUAUUAGGUCCAUUCUAUGUCUACACCAAUUACUGUAUACGUGAGUUUAGAAAUAUUAUCUCUAUCUUAUUCCUUGUUAGUUGGAAUGGCGUAUUAAUUCAGUAGUAAGAACUUUUUGUACAACCAUCUCGUUUUUUCUGUUCAAGAUCUUUCUUUUAGCUCAUCACCUCAGAGCUCAACCCAGCUGUAUAUUGAUAUACUCAAGAAUUUAGCUAAACCACUUAUCAAAGCUCAAUUCCAUUUAUGAUUGACUUAUUUCACAAUUGAAUGAGUUGAAACAGCUUUUUAUUACUAAUUCCCAGGAUUUGAACGGGGAGAGGGAGGGGGUGUGAAUUGAAUUGAGGAUUUUUUUUCAAUUUUUUCACAAAGCAUUAUAAUGAAACUAUAAUAUAUCGGUUCUUCGUAAUGGAUCAACUCUUAUGUAAUAUAAUUUUCAGUUUAUUUUAUAAUGCGAUCAGCGAUUGAACAAAAAGUAAUGCGCAAAUGUAAAGUAUGAUGUAUGCUUGGUCAUAUAUUUACAUCCACUGUACGAGGGACAAUAAUAUUGUUAGAAAGCAAACCCUCCUCUCGAAGCAAACAAUGACGGUACCUGCUACUGAGAUCAAAGGUGGCAGCCACUAUUUCUAUCUAGCCAAUCUGAUUUGUUCUCUAUAACAAAAGCUACGACAACUUGCAUCUUGAUGAGAAGAACAAACAUGAGUCGGCUAAAUAAUAUGUUCAACCAAUGGAAGACAAGGAAUGAUGUGCAACUUGCAGAAUGGAGAAUUGCACCUGGACAGCAAUACGACGGCUGUUUUGUUGCAUUCCUUAGCCGACAUCUAUUUUCUAUAAAUAGGGGAUUUGUUUCAUUUGUAUGAUGUGUGAUGCAUUCUCAGAGAGAAAAGGAGCAAAGCCGUGAACCUCAUGUGUUAGGUGUUGAGAGACUGUUUUGGUGAAAGUGAGAUUUCAUGUUGUUUGGGUGUAUUAUGUUGUAAACAUAUUUUUCAAUUUCAAGAUUGUGUUAUUGAACGGUGGAUCCGUUUCCAACAAAUUUACUAUAAUUUUUUUCAUAAGUACAUCUCAAGAUCGAUUCACUCAAUGAUCAAACAAAUAAAAGAAUAGAGACAAAUAUUUAGUGAGAAAAUUCUCGAAGGAAAGAAAAAUUCAUGAUUCGACGAAAUUCACUAUGAAAAGAUGAUAUAUGGAAGAGUAUUGUCGUGAUCAUUAUAAAUCUAAAAUAUUUGGUAGGGGAGCGUUCCGUCUUAAGUAUAAAGUCACGACGCGAGUCGUGGUGGACGAAGCUGAAGCGAGAAUGUCGACUUGAGUAACGCAAACAUUGGUGAGAAUCUAAUUCCCCGAAAACCUAAGGGUUCCAUUGCAAGGUUCGUCCACGGAGGGUGAGUCAAGGCCUAAGAUUAGGCUGAAAGGCGUAGUUAAUGGACAACGGGUUAAUAUUCCUGUACUACCUCUCGUUAGUAAGGUCCGAGGGACGAAGGAGGCUAGCUUAGCCAAACUGAAAGAUGGUUAUCGGUUCAAGGACGCACAAUGAACCCUUAUCGUGGCUAGUAGGGGUAAAGAAAAUGCCUCAAGUCAAUAUUCGAGUACCAGGUGUAAUUUGAUUUGAUAGGUACGCAUACAACGCUCAAGUAAGCUAUGCCAUAUUCCCAGAAAAAGCUAUCCCAUAUUCCCAGAACGACCUUCAUCGAAAAGAGGUACCUAUACCCAAAUCCGACAUAGGUGGGUAGGUAGAGAAUACCUAGGGUUGUAACACAACUCUCUCUAAGGAACUUGACAAAAUAGCCUUGGAAAUUCGUGAGAAAAGGUGCGCUAUGACUAAGGGGUCAAAGUGAUCAAGAUUAGGCGAUUGUUUACCAAAAGUAUAGGUCUUCACAAAUUCAUAAGACCAUGUACGGGGCUAACGCCUACCUAGUGCCAUAAGAUCAAGAAAGUUGGUGACCUACUGACAGGGGAGUCGACGAUCGAAGCCCUAGUGAAAGGCAGUCAUAACUAUGAUGGUCCUAAGGUAGCAAAAUUCUUUGUCGGGUAAGUUUCGACCAACACGAAAGGCGUAAUGAUCUAGGCAUUGUCUCGGAGAGAGGCUCGGUGAAAUAGACAUGUCUGUGAAGUUGCGGACUACCUGUACCUGGACAAAAAGACCCUAUGAAGCUUCACUAUUCCCUAGGAUUGGCUUUGGAUAUCUCCUGCAAUAGAAGGUGAAGAAGGCUCCGACCCGAGCCAUCAUACCAAUCUGGAGGAGCUAGAAUUCUAACCUUGUGUUAGGACCUACAGGCCAAGGGACAGUCUCAGGUAGACAGUUUCUAUGGGGAAUAGGCCUCCCAUAAGGCAACGGAGACAUGCAAAGGUUUCCUCGGAUCGAAGAGAGAUUGGUCUUUGAGGGCAUAAGCAGAAGGAGCUUGACUGCAAGACCGACCUGUCGAGCAGGGACAAAAGUUGGCCUUAAUGAUUUACUGGUGUCGAGUGGAAGGAUCGUUGCUCAAUGGAUAAAGUUACUCUAAGGAUAACAGGCUGAUCUUCCCUAAGAGUCCACAUCGACGGGAAGAUUUGGCACCUCGAUGUCGGCUCUUCGCUACCUGGUGCUGUACGAUGUUCCAAGGGUUGGGUUGUUCGCCCAUUAAAGCGGUACGUGAGCUGGGCUCAGAACAUCAUAAGACAGUUCAAUCCAUGUCCAGCGUGGGCGAUAGAGAAUUGAGAGGACUUUCCUUAGUACAAGAGGACUAAGAAGGAUGCACCUCUGGUGUACCAAUUAUAGUGCCCACGGUAAAUGCUGGGUAGCCAAGUGCGGAGCGGAUAACUGUUGAAAGCAUCUAAGUAGUAACCCAGCCCAAGAUGAGUGCUCUUGAUAUCUCCGAUGCUAAGUCCCCUUUUUCCCCGCUCAACUCCUUGGGUAUACAUUAAGGAUCGGGUAUACAUAGAGGAUGAGGAUGGAGCGGGAUAAGUUUAGAGAACAUAAGAAAAGAUCAUGGUGAGAUGAGCCGUUUAUCAUCUCAUUACGAUAAGUGUCAAGUCGAAGUG
rnacentral:rRNA from 1 species